rnacentral:rRNA from 1 species
AAAUUGAAGAGUUUGAUCAUGGCUCAGAUUGAACGCUGGCGGCAGGCCUAACACAUGCAAGUCGAACGGUAACAGGAAGCAGCUUGCUGCUUCGCUGACGAGUGGCGGACGGGUGAGUAAUGUCUGGGAAACUGCCUGAUGGAGGGGGAUAACUACUGGAAACGGUAGCUAAUACCGCAUAAUGUCGCAAGACCAAAGAGGGGGACCUUCGGGCCUCUUGCCAUCGGAUGUGCCCAGAUGGGAUUAGCUUGUUGGUGGGGUAACGGCUCACCAAGGCGACGAUCCCUAGCUGGUCUGAGAGGAUGACCAGCCACACUGGAACUGAGACACGGUCCAGACUCCUACGGGAGGCAGCAGUGGGGAAUAUUGCACAAUGGGCGCAAGCCUGAUGCAGCCAUGCCGCGUGUAUGAAGAAGGCCUUCGGGUUGUAAAGUACUUUCAGCGGGGAGGAAGGGAGUAAAGUUAAUACCUUUGCUCAUUGACGUUACCCGCAGAAGAAGCACCGGCUAACUCCGUGCCAGCAGCCGCGGUAAUACGGAGGGUGCAAGCGUUAAUCGGAAUUACUGGGCGUAAAGCGCACGCAGGCGGUUUGUUAAGUCAGAUGUGAAAUCCCCGGGCUCAACCUGGGAACUGCAUCUGAUACUGGC